AUUUAUUGGGCGUAAAGCGAGCGCAGGCGGUUUGAUAAGUCUGAAGUUAAAGGCUGUGGCUCAACCAUAGUUCGCUUUGGAAACUGUCAAACUUGAGUGCAGAAGGGGAGAGUGGAAUUCCAUGUGUAGCGGUGAAAUGCGUAGAUAUAUGGAGGAACACCGGUGGCGAAAGCGACUUUCUGGUCUGUAACUGACGCUGAGGCGCGAAAGCGUGGGGAGCAAACAGGAUUAGAUACCCUGGUAGUCCACGCCGUAAACGAUGAGUGCGUCGACGCGGCCG
rnacentral:rRNA from 1 species